UGGGGGGAUAUUGCACAAUGGGGGGAAACCCUGAUGCAGCGACGCCGCGUGGGUGAGGAAGUAUUUCGGUAUGUAAAGCCCUAUCAGCAGGGAAGAAGAUGACAGUACCUGACUAAGAAGCCCCGGCUAACUACGUGCC
rnacentral:rRNA from 1 species